rnacentral:rRNA from 1 species
GGCUUAAUUUGACUCAACGCGGGGAACCUCACCCGGCCCGGACACCGCGAGGAUUGACAGACUGAGAGCUCUUUCUCGAUUCGGUGGGUGGUGGUGCAUGGCCGUUCUUAGUUGGUGGAGCGAUCUGUCUGGUUAAUUCCGAUAACGAACGAGACCCCAACCUGCUAACUAGCCCUCGGGUCCUGCUUCUGUUGGGCCCGACGGAAUGAUUCGCUUCUUAGAGGGACUCGCGGCGCCUAGCCGCACGAAGGGGGGCGAUAA